rnacentral:lncRNA from 1 species
AAAAGAUGAACUGAAAUGAUCAUAUGCUACAAAAACGAAUAUUUUGAGAAUGUUCUUCUUAUUUAAUGAAGGAUCACUAAAUACAACACAAUGUUUCAAGAAUUUAUGAAGUAGUUGAAAGUUCCAUCAGUGUGAUUGCGGUUUGAGUCUUCAUUGCGGAUUUCAUUGCAGAUGACUGGUUAGAUAACUGCAGUUGAAGAAACUGAGAAGAACACUUGAACAAGAUCAGAAAUAACAAUCAAUAAAGGACCCUUGAAAUAUAGGUAUGAUAUAUGGUUAUGGUAUAUAUAGUAUAUUGCGGUACAUAAAAUGUAUUGCAGUACACAAGAUACACUGAAACUAUAUAAGAUAUAUAUUUAGUUAGGACCGCAAUGGUGACCAUGAGUGGUCUGCGGUACCUAUCAAUUCAAGAAGAAUUGUGGGUCUGGAUUCAUCAUUCCUAACAUUUGUAAGAAACUGUUGAGUUUUGUAGAGUCAAGUGCCUUUGUGAACACAUCAGAAAUAACAAUCAAUAAAGGACCCUUGAAAUAUAGGUAUGAUAUAUGGUUAUGGUAUAUAUAGUAUAUUGUGGUACAUAAAAUGUAUUGCAGUACACAAGAUACACUGAAACUAUAUAAGAUAUAUAUUUAGUUAGGACCGCAAUGGUGACCAUGAGUGGUCUGCGGUACCUAUCAAUUCAAGAAGAAUUGAGGGCCUGGAUUCAUCAUUCCUAACAUUUGUAAGAAACUAUUGAGUUUUGUAGAGUCAAGUGCCUUUGUGAACACAUCAGCAAUCUCUUCAUGAGUAUAAACAAAAAUUAGUUCAAUGUUACCUUUCA